AACGAACGCUGGCGGCAUGCCUAACACAUGCAAGUCGAACGAGACCUUCGGGUCUAGUGGCGCACGGGUGCGUAACGCGUGGGAAUCUGCCCUUAGGUUCGGAAUAACUCCCCGAAAGGGGUGCUAAUACCGGAUAAUGUCUUCGGACCAAAGAUUUAUCGCCUUUGGAUGGGCCCGCGUUGGAUUAGCUAGUUGGUAGGGUAAAAGCCUACCAAGGCGACGAUCCAUAGCUGGUCUGAGAGGAUGAUCAGCCACACUGGGACUGAGACACGGCCCAGACUCCUACGGGAGGCAGCAGUGGGGAAUAUUGGACAAUGGGCGAAAGCCUGAUCCAGCAAUGCCGCGUGAGUGAUGAAGGCCUUAGGGUUGUAAAGCUCUUUUACCCGGGAUGAUAAUGACAGUACCGGGAGAAUAAGCGCCGGCUAACUCCGUG
rnacentral:rRNA from 1 species